UAUUUAACAGUCAGCAUUUUAACUUUGUAUCAAUUAGAUGUCUCUAACAAACACAUCCAUGAUUAAUUUUAUAUAGGUUUAGAUAUAAUUCACGUAUCUUUUUUUUAAAAAACAAGGUAUCAGACAAUGCAUUGAAUAGUAUUAGUAACCUUUUUUUCCUGUUGAAGAAAAAUCCUAGAGACAAUGGAUGUCAGACACUUUAUAGACAUUAACAUUUUAACAGCUGUUUACUAUCUAGAAACAAAACUGUGCAUUAGUAACUUUAAAGACAUUUGUACUUUUAUCUAUUUUCCCAAUUUGAAUUGAACCUUUUAAAUCAUAUUAACCAAAAGUAUUUGGAUCCUUUUUUAAAAAAUUAUAAUUUAUGAGCUCAUAGUUAAUCUUUUUGUACCAAAUAUAUGUAGACAUGGCAAUACGUGAAGACAGGUAGUACACCGGUGCACCCACACAAAGGAAACAGACAAAACAAAAGCCUUGUAGCUUAUUUGUUAAAAACCUAUUAGAUAGUUAGCCUUUGUAAAUUGGCCUUAGAAUAAAAGCAGGUGUAAUCAGAAAAACAUAUUAACCUAAGCAUAUUGGAUCAAAAUUAUAAAUUUAACAAAUAUAGAAUUUAAAAAUUUUUCUAACUUUUUUUUCUGAGGUGGUCCUGUUCAUGAAAGCUGAAAAGAGUGAGGGAACAUAGACAAACAAAGGGGGCUUAUUUCUCCCUGGAGGAACUUCCCAAAGAUGAAGCUUUAUUGGUCUCCUUGGGAGAAUCCCCUAGGUUGGGGUCCCAAAUUUUAAACUGUUUUUUUCUGGUUUCUUGGAUAGCAGCCACCAACUUUUAGCCUGACAUUGAAAAAUCUUUAGACAAUUUUUUAAUAAUUGGAAGUUAUUCAUGCAUGCAAAUGCUGAGAGACAAAAGCCAAAUUUUCUAGACAAAAUUAUGUUUUUUGUUAUAUAAUUUAGGAAUAAUAAUUUUAUAAAACACUUUAGUUUUAAUCUUUCCUCUAAAGGAACUGACGUGAUUUACCCUGUUGGCCACUUGGCCCAGUUCCUAAAUGAAGACAAUAUAAAUGAAUGCCUUUUUCUUUUUACCUUUAGCUUUUACUUUUGACAAUUCUUUUAGUCCUAUUGGCAGCACUUUACAUUUUAAUGCAAGCUGUAGUGAGCACAGUUAAAACCAUUUUAAUCAUCUUUUUUACCAUUAGAAACAAACUGAGGUAGACUUAACACAGAACACAAAGGGAACAAACAAAAACAAACCAAUAGACAAAGUCCUGAAAAUUGUUAAGAAAACAAGUUAAAGGGGUACAGGUAGAGAUCUCUGUAGCGCUUCCUUGUCCCAUAUGUCGGUGGAGCAAAGGAGUCCUAAUGAAAGCAGAGUAGUUAUGAGAACAAGAAAAGGGCCCACGCACAACACAUGGACAGAUAAAUACAAAUGUGGCCUGCAAAUAGACACUGGACAAAUGACAAACAGCAAGAAGACGCUGGAGAAACAACAAACAGCAGAACAGACACAGGACAAGCAACAAUUGCUGAGGUCACACAGGGAGACUUCUAAUGGGGCAGAGACCACAUCUCGUCCUGCCUCCAGACAGAUUUGAGGCCUCGCAGGGAGGCCUCCAGUGGGCCCCAGAUACAGAUGAGGUCACACAAGGAGACCUCCAGGGAGACAGUGACAAUGUCUCCUUCUGCCCCCUGAAAGGUGUAAGUGACUGCAUUCAAUCUGACCUUUUCUCCAGAAGAGUUGACUCACCAGAACUGGGCCGGCAGGAGGCUUUUCAGAGCGUCCUAGGAUAGAUUGAAGUCACCCUCAGAGUGAGGCUGAGGAACAUCUCUCGAGGUCCAAAGGCCCAUCUUUGAAGGCAAAUUUGGCAUGAGGGAAGAGAAGAAAUGGAUCCUGGAUGAGCCCCCAGAUGUUAUAGUUAAAGCUUCGUCUUGGGGUUUCAUAAACUGACUUCCAGACCACUCAUGUAUAAUCGAAUCAAGCCUUUAUUGAAGCACACUGGUGGUGACUGACCAGAACAUAAAGUUGUUCCCCUGAUUAGCCACGAACAAUUGCAAGGGCACUCCUUAUAAGCCUGAAAACCGCAAAAGGGAUGUUCGGGGGUCUAGCCAAUGCAAGCAAGCCAGGUUACAGAAGCGGGAGAGUGCAGUCAAGGGGUGAGAAGCCUAACCAAUCACAGUUAGCUCAGUCACCCCAGUUACAGAAACAGAGCCCCAUUACCCUAGUUACAGAAUGCCCCAUUAGAUAGUUCCGUGUUGUUCUUAAAGGUUUAUAUAGCAAAAGGAAAAGAACAUCUUGCCCCAGUCAUGAUCCUUCUAUUUGGCACGGUUGUUUUAUAGGAUAAAGUUAUAAAACAAAAUGGAGUCACAUUUGCUUUUAUUAUCACAAUGGUUUUCAGAGACUUAUUUGGGACCUUGAGGCUAUAUUUAUAGUUGUAUAGUUGGCUUUUUAUUGGCUAAAUGAGUGGCUUGAGGCCUUAGGGAAUCACAGGGUUUGGACCUUGAUGAGUCACUACAGAAAAUUCAUAGCUGUUAUUUCAUAGACAACAUUGAUUUUAGCAAUUUGUGGGCAGGCCAAAGCCAAGUCAAGGCCUUUCAUCCAAGCUUUAUCAGACUUUAGCAAAGUUUAGGUCAUUCAUAUCUCAGAAAAUAUCUGGAUUGAGAACUUUAAUAAGAGAAUGGGCCUUAUUAAAGAAUUAGGGAUCCAUAGUUUCAGAGAAAAUGUGGAGAGUACAGCUCAAUAGUCCCACAAAUUCACGGGGCCAAUAAUUUUAGCAUAGCAAAUGACUUUCAGAAGACUUGAGCCACAUUAUUAUAGAAAUGCAAACAAACUUGAAUUAUAGUGUGUAGCUUUGCCUAGGCAAUCAUAGGGAUUGCGGAGAUUACAUUUAGGGAAAAAUUUUUUUCAAGCUUAAGCCUCUUACACUUUAAGAUUAGAACGAUAUUUGUUUUGUUUUAAAGCAAGGCAACUGAGUAGAGCACUUGCAAAUAUUUAGCUUUAAGUUAGUACUAAGAGGUACAAUGAAUUGCUCCAAAUCCAGCUGAGGAUUUCAGUAUUACUUUAGCAUACAGAAUAAUAGAAUUUUUCUCAACUGUGACAAUGAGUGAAGGUUAAUAAUCUACAAAAUCAGAAUCAUAUUAAGACUGCAAGAGAUUAGAUGUUACCUGAUGAAGUAAAAUUCAAAAUUCAGCCCAACUUUCCUGAAAGGAGUAAAAAAAUUAUAAAGGAAUCUAAACAGUAUAAAUGUAUUUGAUCACUUUAAGAACAGAUACAGAAAACAACAACAUUGUGUUCAACAACUGGAACAUUCAAAAGUCAAGGAAAGCAUUUUAAAAAUGCAUUUUAAUUUUAAUUAACUCAAUAAUUAUACAUAUCCAUGAGGUAAAGCAUGACAUUGCAAUAUAUAUAUAUGGUGUGUAAUGAUCAGAUCAGGGUAGUUGGAAUUUGUAUCAUUUCAAACAUAUAUCAUUUGUGUUGGGGAAAUUUAAAAUCAUUUCUACUAGCUAGUUUAAAAUAGUCAAUUAAUUGUGGUCAACCAUAGUUAUCCUACUGUGGUAUAUGACUCAUUAGAAGUUAUUUCUUAUAUCUAGCUGCACCCUUAUACCCAUUAACUACUCUUUAUUCACCCCUUCUUACUCCCCAUGCCCUUUCCAAGUUCUGGUAACUGCUAUUUUCUUCUCUAAUUCUUUGAGAUUGACUUUUUAGUUUCUACAAGUGAAUGAGAAUGUGUGAUAUUUGUCUGACAUUUUGUUUAACAUAGUGCUCUCUAGUUCCAUCAAUGUUGCUGCAAAUGACAGAAUUUUAUUCUUUUGAAUGCCCAAGUAAUAUUUAAUUUUGUUUAUAUUCCACAUUUGGAGGGCACUGAAGAUUGAAUGUAGAGGUACUUUAUUUACUAUUGAGCUACAUCUCCAGUUCUUUUUACAAAACCUUGUAUUUUCAGAGAGGUUGUUGCUAAAUUGCUGAGGGUCCUGCUAGAUUGCUGAGGCUGGCCUUGAACUUGUGAUCCUCCUGUCAGUCUCCUGGUCCCUGGUAUUACAGGUGUGCAUAACUGCACCUGGCUUAUGUACAACAUGUUCUAUAUGUACUCAUCUACUGAUAGACACCUGGGUUGAUUCCAUACUUAGUUAUCAUGGAUAGUACUGCAAUAAACACGCCAAUGCAGAUGUCUCUUCAGCUUACUGAUGUAUUUCCUUUGCAUAUAUUCCCACUAGUGGGACUGCUGGAUCAUAUGGUAAUUAUCUUGAUUGUAUCUAUAAGGAUGUUUCUGGAUUAGUAUAACAUUUGAAUCUAUAGACUGAUUGAAGCAGUUUUUCUCCCACCUAAUUAUUUGAAGGCUUCAAUAAAACAAAAAGACCAAUUAUUCUUGAGAGUCAGAGGUAAGUUCUCCAGUUUGACUUCCUUGAGCUGGGGCAUUGGUUUUCUCCUCCAUUUAGACUGUAACUUUCACCAUAACUAUCCUGGUUCUCAGCCCUCCAGAAUUUGUAUGGCUGUUUUGGUUCUCAGGCCUCUGUUUCUUUCAUACUGGAACUCUAUCAUUGACUCUUCUGGGUUCUCACUUUGCCACCCAGUAAUCUCAGGGACUUCUAAGCCUCCACAAGAGGGUGAGUCAAUUUAUUACACUAAAUCUCAUUUUUUUUCCCUCUCUCUUUAUUGUUUUGUUUCUCUGGUGAAGCCUGAUAAGUAUAAGUGCUAUAAACUAAUCAGACCUAGCAGACAUCUAUAGAGCAGUCCAUCUAAUAGCAACAGGAUCUUCUCAAGGCCACAUGGAAAAUUCUUCAUGGUAGACCAUAUCCAGGCCAUAAAAUAAACUCAAUGAAUUUGAAAGAAUCAAUCAUAAAGUAUGGUGUCUGAACAGUGUCUUGAGAGAUUUCAGGCCUUUGUUCCUGCACAAGUAAGGAUUUUGAAGGAAGAGGACCAGAGUUGAAAGGAACAAAAUAAGGAAGCAAACAUAAAGCUGCUGAAGGAGGAGAAAGAGGGGAAGGAGCAAUGGGGCAACCAGGACAGAGACCUAGGAAAACAGAAGGAAAAGUGCUUUCUUCUCACCAUCUCUGGCUGCUGGGUUAAUGUUUGCGAAGAGGUCCGGAGAGAUCCUCUCUGAAUGGAAUUGCGCCUGUAGCCACUUCUGUUUUCGUGACAACACUUCUAUUCUAUGGCUUUGUUGCUGAGGAUAUAUCUAGUCUCACCUCUGGGGCUUCCUCUGAUGUCCACCAGAUUGGAGAUCCAAGAUGGAACAUUUUCUACUGCUCUCUAGGUCAUUGAAGAGCCUUUCCCUAGUUCUUUUCCUGUGUGCUCCAAGAAUUUCAUGUUUUUUUUUCUUCUUCUUUUUUUUAACCCCCAUCUCAAAUGGCUUUCAAUGAUCUGAAGGGGAAUUGAACUCAACCUGUGGAACAAAAAUGCUCAGUCCCGUUUUAAAAUUUAUUUUUAAUUGGCAAGCAAUAAUUGUGUACAUUUAUGAAGUGCAAUAUGAUAUUUUGAUUUCUGUAUACAAUAUGAAAAAACUCAGUUAACAUGUCCAUUACUUCACUAAUUUAUCAUUUUGUGUGUGUAUGUGUGUGUGUGUGUGUGUGUGUGUGUGUGUGGUGAGAACACUAAACAUCUAUUUUAGUAAUUAUGAAAUAUACAAAUGUUAUUGUUAAUUGUGGUAACCAUGUAGGGCAAUAAAUCACUGAAACAUAUUUCUCCAAUCUGAGAUGCCGAAUCUUUGAUCAACUUCUUCCCUUUCUCCAUCUCUCCUUCUUCCUCUCCAUCUCAGUUAACACCUUUCUACUGUUUCAAUGAUAUUGAUUUCUUUAGAUCAUACAGUAUUUGUUUUUCUAUGCCUAACAUAUUUUACUUGGAAUGAUGUCACCUGUUCCAUCCAUCGUAUCUCAAAUGACAGAACUUCCUUAAUUUUUAAGGCUAUAUAGUAUUGCUUUGUGAAAAUAGACCACCCUUUCUUUCUCCAUUAAUCUCUUGAUAGACACUUAGGUUGCUUCCAUAUCUUGGCUAUUGUGAAUGAUGUGAAAUGAACACAGGAGUGCAGAUGCCUCUUUGACAUUCCAAUUUCAGUUUCUUUGUAUAUAUUUCCAGAAGUAGGAUUGCUGGGUCAUGUGGCAAUUCUAUUUUUAGUUGUUUGAGGAAUCUCCAUAUUAUUUUCCAAGAUGGCUGUGCUAAUUUGCAUCCCUACCAGUGAUGUGCGAGAGUCCCCUUUUCUCCACAACCUCUCUCAUACUUUUCUUAUUCACAUUUAUGAUGAUAGCCAUUUUAACAUAUGAGAGGUGUCUCAUUGUAGUUUUAAUUCACAUUUCCCUGAUGAUUAGAGAUGCUGAGCAAUUUUUCAUAUAUCUAUUGUCCAGUCAUAUCUCUUCUUUUCAGUAAUGUCUGUUUAGAUCUUUUACUCACUUUAAAAUUGUGUGGCUUUUUUAACUAUCAAAUUGUUUGGAUUUCUUAAACAUUUUGAGUAUUAACUUAUUAUCAGAUGCAUGGUUUGCAAAUAUCUUUUACCAAUUGGUAUGUCAUUUCUUUACUUUAUUGAUUCCUUUGUUGUGCAGAACAUAAGUUUAUGUAAACCUGUUCAUCCAUUUUUGCUUUUGGUACCUGUGCUUUUAAAGACCUAACCAAUAAAUCCUUGUCUGAAUCAA